AAUCCACCUUCACCAAAUUUUAUAUCCCCUUGAUUUUGGUAUGACAUCAAAGAGAGUAUGCACCUAUGUAUAAUUUGUUUUACAUGUAAAAUAAAUAACAAUGAAGGUAGAUGGAUGGACACAAGUUAAAUAAUGAAGAACCAAUAUAUUAGCAGAAAAAGCCCUCUCCGAUCAAACCAAUGAAACCUUAGCUCUCUCCAAUCACACCAAUGAAAGCUUAUUUGCAUGGUAGACUUGGAUUUGACUCAUGUCAUCAGCAUGUUUGGCAUUGUGGUUUGAGGGCCAAAAGAGUUUUUCAAGACAAAAAGAAAUCAUUUUAGAUACAGUUUGAAAAAAGCUAUUUUGU
rnacentral:misc_RNA from 1 species